rnacentral:tRNA from 1 species
AAUAAAUCACUUUGAGUAUAAUGGAGCGGGGGCUCUGGCCCCCCUAUAUUCGGCAGGUAUUAAUUUAUUC